ACACAACCGACCCGACCCAUGAAUGGAACAUUAGGGCUCCGCUUCUUACGAAACGCAGCACUAUAAAUUCGAAAACGAGGGUUUUACUCUCAGAUUCAGUUCAGUUCCCUUCCCUGCCGCGGAAAUUUGCCAUCGUUCAGAGAAGCUUGAGAGCGUAGCGUUCAUCAUCCAACAUGAGAGCUAAGUGGAAGAAGAAGCGCAUGAGGAGGUUGAAGAGGAAGCGCCGAAAGAUGAGACAGAGAUCUAAGUAGGAGCAUAUGCAGGAGAAGAGCUUUCCAUCUUGCUUUAUGCCUGCUUCAUGAUACAUUGGCCUGUUCUGGUUUAAUUAUCUUGAGGUUUGGUUGGGAGGGGAAGCUUCUCUCUAGACAUAGUUUAGCUGUGUUGUUCCAAGACAAUUGAUUUUGAGUGUUUUGUAGUAUUGGUGCAUGUACUGUUUUGGUGGACUUGCUGAUAUUUAUAUUUAUGUCUAAUAUAAGCAUUUUAAGACUUGCAUGAAAAUGUGGUUAUUUAUUAGGACAGCAGAUUAAUCUGUGUUUUAUGAUAUUCCUUCACCGGGUAAGCUUAAGAUGUGGUUUUUCUUUCACAUUCUUCAUCUUUUGUGAUUAAAUACAUGAAAUCACGUUGAUGAGGGGGGAAAACUUGAUACGAUUUUCAUGCGAAUUUUGAAAUACAUAUGGAAGUAAGAUGAGUUGUGUGGUCAAGCUUUUCACCUCGACCACUUUGCAACAGCCUUAUGCUUCUUAAGCUCUUUACUUUCAAACUAAACAAAAUGAUAGUUAUAAGUAUUUUCCUUUCAUCCUCUGCAAAAAUGCUUUUCGAAAUAGGUGAAGAAAUUCCCUCUCUCAUCUUCACCUUCUUCCCUUCUCUAAACGAUUCCAUUCCUUUUGCUCUUCUCAAAGACAGUCCAAACCCCUAGUCAUGUCCGGAUGUGGCGCGUACUCCUGUAAAUGUGAUUUUUUUUUUUAUGUGCCUCUUAAAAGACAUUAGGAUUUCGGGGUGUUAGAAAGACUUAACAAGCAAGAAUGCUGAAAUUGCUAAGAUGUCAUGAUUGGUGUGAAUCCUGGAUUCUUCACUUGAGUUUUUAGUUAUCGAUGUCAUUUCGCCUAUCUAUAAAAACAAAAGUCACAGUUUUGUGUUUUCAUCAAGGCUUGCGAAAAACUCGUAAGGAGGCAAAAUCUUCCUUGGUCAGCUAGGGAGUUCCUUCCCUACUCAAGUGGAGGUUUGCAUUUUUUUUAGUAACACCAUAUGCUGUUAAAUAUACUACAUAUUUAAGUUCUAUGGUUUGGACUUUGUCCUUUUUCUUAAUCUGAAUUCUUUGGAGUUUCUGAUUACAACACGUUUUUAAGCUCAAAUUAAAUUUGUUUUCUUGGAAGAAUGGUUUGGAGUUGGUUCAUUAGGAACCUUCGCUUUGGAAUUUUAUUUUCGAUUAAUAUACAUAAUAAUGUUCAGUUCCUACCAUCGAACAACACAAGUGGACUGAUGUUGGCUUGAUUCUAGCAGGUUUUAGAUUCAUACUUAUGGUAAAUGUAAAUGCGUUGAGGGUGGCAGAUUUGUUUUUGAUGAUUUGCUUGUUAGAGAUGUGGUUACUUACUUGCACCUCGUUGUUCUCAUGCUAUGUCAAUUGUGGAUUUCCCCAGAAGGGUUGAAUUCUAUUUUAAAUGGGGUGGAAUAGAGUGAAACCGGAUCAUGUGAUUGUGUCUAGCAUCAUGCCUGGGUGCUCGGAUUUGAAAGAUUUGCAAUCAGGUAAGACAAUUCAUUGAUUUGUGGUGAGACAUGGGGGAUGGUAGAAAAUGUGUUUGUUUACAAUUCCCUUGUGAACUUGUAUGCAAAAUGUCUCUGUGUAAUUUAAUUUGAUGCCCAAGAUGUGGCUACCUAGAACUCGUUGCCCUCAUGCUAUGUGAAUUGUGGAUUUUCUCAGCAAGGUCUUACACCCUCCGCUGCUAUUUAAUUGUCACUUUUUGACUUUCUACACAAACCAAGACAACAAAUAUAUUUUACUACUUUUGAUGCAACAAUUUAUCUUGGAUUUACUGUGAGACAUGGUAUGGUAGAAGAUUUGUUUGUUUGCAAUGCCCUUGUGAACUUGUAUGCAAAAUGUCUACGUGUAACAAAAGCUCAAACGCUAUUCAAUUUGAUGCCUCGUCGCGAUGUUGUUUCUUGGAACUCCUUGUCAGUGUGCUAUGUGAACAGUGGAUUUCCUCAGCAAGGUCUUAAGGUUUGUAAUGAAAUGGGACAGAAUGGGGUGAAACUGAACCCGGUGACUAUGCUUAGUAUUUUGCCUGUGUGCUCGGAUUUGCAAGAUUUGAAAUUAGGUAAAGAAAUUCAUGAAUUUGUGAUGAGACAUAGUAUGGUAGAAAAUUUGUUUGUUUGUAAUGCCUUGGUGAACUUGUAUGCAAAAUAUCUGUGUUUAGGGAAGCUCAAGCAGUAUUUGAUUUUAUGCCUCAUUGAGAUGCUAUUUCAUGGAAUGGAGUUUUAACAGCAUACUUCACAAACAAAGAAUACAAGAAGGGUCUUUCCCUGUUUUCUCAGAUUAGCAAAGAUGGAGUCACAACUCAACAGAUGAAAUUACAUGGAAUGUUGUCAGUUGUCACUGAUGGAUGCGUGGAGAAUGGACGAAUAGAAGAGGCGAUGGAGAUGUUUAGGAAGAUGCAAACAAUGGGAUUUAAACCUGAUGAAAUAACAAUUAGCAGUCUCUCUCUCUCUCUCUCUCUCUCUCUCUCCCUCUCUCUCUCUCUCAAACUCUCUAGUAGACAUGUAAUGGUCUUUGCAAAUGCGAUGCACGGGAAUGGAAAAUAAGCAUUUUUUCUCUUCGAGAAGAUGCUACUAUCAAGGGGCAAGCCUGAUUUUGUUACUUUUACUUGUGUUCUAUCUGCCUGUAGCCAUUCAAGGCAAGUAGAGGAAGGAGUCCAGAUAUUUAACUCAAUGAGUAGGGAACAUCGUGUAGAACCUGAUGCUAAACACUAUUCAUGUGUGGUCGAUAUCUAUAACCGUGUUGGUCGCCUCGACGAGGCAUGAGUUUAUACAGAGAAUGCCUAUGGGACCACCAACUGCUAUUGAUUGGAAAGCACUCCUUGGUGGUUGUAGGGUAUAUAAGAAUGUGGAGUUGGCGAAGAUUUCAGCUAAGAAACUAUUUGAGAUUAUUCCAACAGCUCUGAAAAUUAUGUUACCAUAUUCAACAUUCUUGUUACUGCCAAAUUAUGGAGUGAAGCUUCAAAAAUCAGAAUGAUGAUGAAAGAGAGAGGAAUUACAAAAACUCCAGGAUGUAGUUGGCUUCAUGUAGGUAAUAGAGUUCACACUUUUGUUGGAGACAAAAGUAAUAUGGAGAGUGAUAAAAUCUAUCACUUUUUGGAUGAGUUGGUUGAGAAAGUAAAAGUGGCCGGAUAUAAGGCUGACACUGAUUAUGUUCUUGGUGAUAUUAAUAGAGGAAAAAACUGAGAAUCUUUGUAACCAUAGUGAGAAGCUUGCUGUUGCAUUUGGGAUACUUAAUUUGAAUGGACAGUCGACAAUGCGGUUUUUAAAAAUUUGAGAAUAUGUGGUGAUUGUCACAAUGCCAUUUAGUAUAUGUCUAAAGUUGUUUGUGUGAUUAUUACUGUUAGAGACUCCUUGAGGUUUUAUCACUUCAAAAAUGGAAGUUGUUCUUGUAAAGACUUAUGGUGAUUAUUUGACUCAGAUUAUUGGGAAUAAGAGGUCACAAUGACCCUAUUUGAGCGUGUCUAACUCAAAUUUCAUCAGAUUGUUCAUGACUCUCUCGUGCGUAUGAACCCACUCGCUCGACUCGUGGCGAUUCUGUCUACGAACUGUCUCUUAGAUCAUGUAUUUUAUUCUCUCAAUUUGUUCCAGAGAUCGUUCAUGUCUCUCGAGCUCAGAUUGCUCCCCUCUCUUGUUGCAUUAUUACAUAAGUUGAUCAAUCAAAGAGGAUCUUGAACCAGCUUUUGCAAAUGAAAGAUGAUCCAAUUGUACUGUGUUCAUUGUUUUUCAGUUUGAUCCAUUUCUGCUGUAGUGCUGUCUGUUUCUACUGUGUCUUUCCGGAGGAUAUUGAUUUUUUACCUUCAAGUUAUCCAAGUGGAAGAAGAAGCGC